CAGCGAUCCAACCAGUCGGACGGCUCCGCCCCGCCAUCCUCCCGGAAACCCAGACCUCCUGCGAGCCCCGGGCUGCGUCGGCCCGCGCUGCGGCUGCCUGGGCGCCGAGCCAUGGGGCGUCCGGGCCGGGGGGAGGCCUGAGCAGGAGGCCGGCGGGAAAUGGAAGCUCUGGGCCACAGAAAACGGCAUUCUGAGCAUUCUGAGAAAGCCAUGGAGCAGGACAACAGGAAAGGAGGAGAGAGGACCCAGGCACUGCAGGUCAUCUGCCACUCUAGAAUUUGGACCAAGGUGAGGAGUGGGUCAUGUGCAACAAGGCCCGAGGAGGAUCCCUGCCUUCCCGGAGGCUCCAGGUGGUAUGGCCAUGGAGGAUGUACAGGCCUGCUGAGCCAAGAAGGGGGAAAUGGCCUUAGGAAUCGUGAGGGUGCAGUCAGUUGCCUAGACGAGCUUCAUCGAGGCCCAGGUGCUGUUCCUGCUAUGAGCUGCCAAACCAGAGGGCCCAUUUAUCCUUUGGGUAUGAGCACAGAUAGAGCAUGUGUUUGCGCCAUUGAUAUGGAGGGCUCUGGGAAGCUCUGGACUUUGUUAUUAAGCUCAGGGUGAAGGAUGGAUACCACCAGAAGAAUAGGCCACCUUUUGUUGGCUCAGGAAAUGCCCUACUCUGAGUUGUGUCUCAGGAGAACCUUUACCUUGUCAAAGCUCACCAUGCCUUGUUCUCCUGCUAAUCAUACAACCUAGGUCCCUUUUCAAUGAUUAAUGGCCAAUUGGGACUAAUAAGCAUUGUAAA
rnacentral:lncRNA from 1 species